GGGCGUAGACGGAAUGGCAAGUCUGAUGUGAAAGGCCGGGGCUCAACCCCGGGACUGCAUUGGAAACUGUCAAUCUAGAGUACCGGAGGGGUAAGUGGAAUUCCUAGUGUAGCGGUGAAAUGCGUAGAUAUUAGGAGGAACACCAGUGGCGAAAGCGGCUUACUGGACGGUAACUGACGUUGAGGCUCGAAAGCGUGGGGAGCAAACA
rnacentral:rRNA from 1 species